UACAGAGGGUGCGAGCGUUAAUCGGAAUUACUGGGCGUAAAGCGUGCGUAGACGGCUAUCUAAGUCGGGUGUGAAAGCCCCGGGCUCAACCUGGGAAUUGCAUUCGAGACUGAAUAGCUAGGGUACGGUAGAGGGAAGUGGAAUUUCCGGUGUAGCGGUGAAAUGCGUAGAUAUCGGAAGGAACAUCAGUGGCGAAGGCGGCUCACUGGACCGGUACUGACGCUGAUGCGCGAAAGCGUGGGGAGCAACGGG
rnacentral:rRNA from 1 species